rnacentral:rRNA from 1 species
AUUGAACGCUGGCGGCAGGCUUAACACAUGCAAGUCGAGCGAGCGGCGGACGGGUGAGUAAUGUCUGGGAAACUGCCGGAUGGAGGGGGAUCACUACUGGAAACGGUGGCUAAUACCGCAUACCAUCAGAUGUGCCCUGAUGGGAUUAGCUAGUAGGUGGGGUAAUGGCGCACCUAGGCGACGAUCCCUAGCUGGUCUGAGAGGAGGACCAGCCACGUUGGAACUGAGAAACGGUCCAGACUCCUACGGGAGGCAGCAGUGGGGAAUAUGGCACAAUGGGCGCAAGCCUGAUGCAGCCAUGGCGAGUGUGUGAAGAAGGCCUUCGGGUUGGAAAGCACUGUCAGAGAGGAGGGGUUACUAGCAGAAGAAGCACCGGCCAACUCCGUGCCAGCAGCCGCGGUAAUUC